rnacentral:rRNA from 1 species
UGAAUACGAGAUGCUACGGCGUCGAAGCAGUCUAUGUCAUACUUCCAAGAAAAGCUCGCACUGUCAUAAACAAAUAAUGCCUGUACCAUAACCGACACAGGUGGGUAGGUAGAGUAUACUAAGGGGCGCGAGAUAACUCUCUCUAAGGAACUCGGCAAAAUGACUCCGUAACUUCGGGAGAAGGAGUGCCUUAUUUAUAAGGUUGCAAUAACAAGAUCCAAGCAACUGUUUAUCAAAAACACAGGUCUCCGCUAAGUCGUAAGACGAUGUAUGGGGGCUGACGCCUGCCCAGUGCCAGAAGGUUAAAGAAGUUGGUUAGCAUUCGCGAAGCUGAUAACUGAAGCCCUGGUGAACGGCGGCCGUAACAAUAACGGUCCUAAGGUAGCGAAAUUCCUUGUCGGGUAAGUUCCGACCCGCACGAAAGGCGUAAUGAUUUGGAUACUGUCUCGGAGAGGGGCUCGGUGAAAUAGACUUGUCUGUGAAGAUGCGGACUACCUGCACCAGGACAGAAAGACCCUAUGAAGCUUUACUGUAACUUGAGAUUGAAAUUGGACUUUACUUGCGCAGUAUAGGUGGGAGGCGUUGAUAAUAUUCUUGCGGGAUUAUUUGAGCCAUCAGUGAGAUACCACUCUUGUAAUGUUAGAUUUCUAACUUUGUAUCAUUAUCUGGUCAAAGGACAGUUUCAGGCGGGCAGUUUGACUGGGGCGGUCGCCUCCUAAACGGUAACGGAGGCGCACAAAGGUUUCCUCUGAACGGGUAGAAAUCGUAUCUAGAGUGUAAAGGCAUAAGGAAGCUUGACUGUGAGACCUACAAGUCGAGCAGGGACGAAAGUCGGUCUUAGUGAUCUGACGGUGCUGAGUGGAAAGGCCGUCACUCAACGGAUAAAAGUUACUCUAGGAUAACAGGCUGAUCUCCCCCAAGAGUUCACAUCGACGGGGAGGUUUGGCACCUCGAUGUCGGCUCAUCGCAUCCUGGGGCGGUAGUACGUCCCAAGGGUUGGGCUGUUCGCCCAUGAAAGCGGUACGCGAGCUGGGUUCAGAACGUCGUGAGACAGUUCGGUCCAUAUCCGGUGUAGGCGUUAGAAUAUUGAGAGGAGCCUUCUUUAGUACGAGAGGACCGAGAAGGACAUACCUCUGGUGUACCAGUUAUCGUGCCAACGGUAAACGCUAGGUAGCUAUGUAUGGAGUGGAUAACCGCUGAAAGCAUCUAAGUGGGAAGCCCACCUCAAGAUGAGUAUUCUGGUGUAAGGUCACGGGAAGACGACCCGUAAAUAGGCACGAGGUGGAAGUGCAGAGAUGUAUGAAGCCGAAGUGUACUAAUAGACCGUCGGCUUG